AACAGGUGGUAAAAUGAUAUUUUAUUCUUCGAUUAUUCAACGGUUAGGUACAAGCUGGGACAAAAGUUAUUUCCUAUUCGAUUUCCAAUCGUUCUCGCACCUUUUUUCUGUUCAGAACAUUCUUUUCAGAAUAUUUUCGGUGCAAACAUGAAAACACUGCGAUCAUUUCGGAAAACAUUUCAUUAAUUGUUUAAUUCUUUCAGACAAAAUUUCGACGAGAUCGUUCCAUUCCAUGUCGUUGGAGCAAUUUUAGAAUGCAGAUUUUAUGCACUCGUGACGACGAGUAGGCGAAAUUUAAAACAAUAGUCAGUGAUUUAAUAUGGAUACUUUUCAGUAACCAAGCGAAUAUUGUUAUUAUUAUAAAGGAGUAAUUUCAGUAUUGCGAGCACCGUUUAAACAUCAAGAGAGUAAUUAUUGCUCAUCCGGUGAACUAUUCGCAAUUUUUCACGAAGACAAACAGCAACCAGUACAAUGUAAUUAUAUAUCGCUGGAAAAAAUAGGCCCAACGGAGUUUACCAACCCCCUUUCCGCGAGGUUAUUACGACCCCGGCGAGGCUCGAAAAGAAGAAGGAUAGAAAUUUGCUAAAAGUGUCUCGGCCAAAUGACGAGACUAAAAGGCUUCUCAGUCGUAAUUGCCAGCAGUUGGUGUCCCGCGAAGCCUAUAAUUUAUUACGGAAGCUCGUGAAGUUUUCCUCCGCGUCCGUGCCCCUGGCCCCCGCCCCCCUCGCCCGCCGCCUCUUCUUAUUACUAGCAAAUUUAUUUAUGGCUCGAUUAUCGCGGGGCGAACACAGUGAGAAACACGCGGCGUCGAUUCCGUGGUCCCAUGAGGCGCGGGCCCCGGCAGAAAAAAAUCCGGUACCAGGUCGGGCCGGGAACACGCUGGAACACGCUGUAGAACGCGAGCGGCAUGGAAGACUGUAGUUAGCGACUAUUAAUAUCAUCGAUCGGGAUCGAUAGUUGCCUUCGAGGCGUCAUAAUGAUACGGUGGGAUCGGGACCGGGGCCUCAUCCCGAUGCUCUUCCGAUAUGCCACGUACACACGUUGGUUACAUGACGUGCACGAGUGGCGCCACUAACAAUCCCCCAAGAUUCUCCCCGGGGAACAAACCAACGAUAAACUUAUUCCAUAAUGUUUAAUUGUUAUUCCUCGGGUUGCUCCGCCAGUUUCGGGACGCAUCGAUUCCGGGUGACUGCGCGUGCAUCGCUGCCAAUUAACGCGGUGCCUGUCCGACAACAAUGCACUUCGGGUAACCGACGGGGGCUUCGAUGGUGGAGUUCACUUACCAGACCCCAUCAACUGCUCUUACCACCACCUACGGUUCUCAUAAUACGAGCCAACGUUCGUAAACAACUGCGCUAGGUCAAACAGUGCCGAAACAGAACAUUCGGUUGCUUAUGAAAAGUCAGCCUAUUUGUGUGUGUGUUAGUGAUCGUUGAACGUAGAGAGGACGCUGAAACCGUAGUUCCGAUGGCAGCAUCGAGGAGGAAAUAUUUUCACCGAAGGAUGUUGCGAUGAUUCGAGAAAUUGAGGAAUACGCAGCUGUUCGUUAGCAAUAGAAUAUACGUGGUGUAUGAAAAUGGAUUAAAAUGCACCCUAAUGCGCGCGGAUCGAGAGGAGAAAGAGAGGAAAGAAUUCAGGGCCUCUUUUUUGAACACGAAGAAGGUUCUCUCUACGGUCCUGGCAGAUUAGCCGCGGUAUAAUUUUUGUCCAGACGAUACAAAAUAAUCUUUGAACGCGUUUUUUGAUCGAAAUUAUGUUUUUUGAACUGAUUGCCAUGAUAUCUCAAGAUAUACUUGACUGAUUUUAUUCACAUUUGGCGUGUACCGUCAGCACAUGUGCUCGAAUACAUAUGUAAAGUUAAAAUUAUUAAAAUGGACAAUUCGGGGGGAGGAAAUACGAUUAUAGUUGCCUUAUAGUAUACCGAUUGUUAACUAUAAAAAUAAGACGUAAAUUAAUAAACUACUAAAUAAGUAUCAACAAUAA